AUUGAACGCUGGCGGCAGGCCUAACACAUGCCAGUCGAGCGGAUGAAGGGAGCUUGCUCCUGGAUUCAGCGGCGGACGGGUGAGUAAUGCCUAGGAAUCUGCCUGGUAGUGGGGGAUAACGUCCGGAAACGGGCGCUAAUACCGCAUACGUCCUGAGGGAGAAAGUGGGGGAUCUUCGGACCUCACGCUAUCAGAUGAGCCUAGGUCGGAUUGGCUAGUUGGUGGGGUAAAGGCCUACCAAGGCGACGAUCCGUAACUGGUCUGAGAGGAUGAUCAGUCACACUGGAACUGAGACACGGUCCAGACUCCUACGGGAGGCAGCAGUGGGGAAUAUUGGACAAUGGGCGAAAGCCUGAUCCAGCCAUGCCGCGUGUGUGAAGAAGGUCUUCGGAUUGUAAAGCACUUUAAGUUGGGAGGAAGGGCAGUAAGUUAAUACCUUGCUGUUUUGACGUUACCAACAGAAUAAGCACCGGCUAACUUCGUG
rnacentral:rRNA from 1 species